AUCUAUGUAGUUUAAAAAAAAACAUUACAAUUUCAAUGUAAAAAUAAUAAAUUAUUUAUAGAUA
rnacentral:tRNA from 1 species